AAAUUUAUAAAAAAAAGAAACCAAAAACAAGCAUGUAGUUGCAUCAUUUGCAUCCUUAGGAUUGAGUCUACAGCAUAUAUGAUUGCAUUCAUGUUGCAUUUGGAACAAUGAUUGGGAUUGCCUUAUAGCUUAAACUUCUCUUGGAAAACUUGUAUGCUUUGUGCCUUGAAAGCUCCGCUUGAAACUUGUUGUGCUGUGUGAAAUUUAUAUAGCCUUGAAACCAGCUCCAAAUGAACCUGAACUUAAUGAAUCUAAUCUCUCUUGGAUAUGGACAUUUGCAUACUUAGUCAUGGAUCUCAUACACAUUUGAGUUAUCUUAUUCCAUUCAUUACUUUUUUGUUAACCCAAAUGGCACUCCACACCCUUAAACCCUUACCAUUCUUUGAGACCAACAUUGAUUUGCUUGAGUGAGGCCUCUUCUUGAUAGCUUGUCAUGUGCAAAAUCUUGAGAGUAUUGGGAGCGACAUAGGUUUGUUCUCAUCUUUGGCUAGCAAUAGGAACCUCAUUUGAGCUAGCAUCUAGGAUGGUGGGUGAGUUUGUGUACUCUAAGAUCUUUUAUCUUGGGUUUGGGAAGUGAAAAAAAAAGAGGAAAAGAUGACUAAAGAGAAGUCAAAAGAUAGAAAGACCCUAGGGACAAGAGAGGUUAAUGAGAGAAAGCUCUAGAUAAGAAAAGUGUUGUAAGAAAAAAAAAAAAAGAAAAAAAAAAGAGAGUGAAUAAGGAAAAGUUAGAGCUAAGUGUUGAUAAAGAUAUUGAGUCCCUAGUGGUUAAAAAAAAAAAAAAAAGAGAGAGAGCAAGAAUGUUUAUCGGGUGAAAAAGGAGAUUUGUGGAGUUUGAUGUCACUUAGAAAAGGGUAGAAGGAUGAGAACCAAUCUAUGUAUGCAUCAGUUGCUUCUUUUCUUAGAUAAAUUUUGCAUAAUGAUCAGGUUCCUGUUUUUGAGUGAUAGCUAGAAAAAAUGCUUUGGAAACCCUUCUUUAUUCUCAUGAAACCAACCCUUGUUCACCAAGCCAAAUGACUAGGAUCAAUUAUCCAUUUGCAAGAAUUCACGUGUUUGCAUUGUGCUUAAUUUAAUGUGAGAGCUGGUUAAGGUGCUUGUUAAUUGAUGAUCCGGCAACUUGUAUAGAGGUAUGAGUUGCAC
rnacentral:lncRNA from 1 species